rnacentral:rRNA from 1 species
AACGAACGCUGGCGGCAGGCCUAACACAUGCAAGUCGAGCGCCCCGCCAGGGGAGCUGCGGCCCGGUGAUUAGCGCGUGGGAAUAUGCUCUUAGCUACGGAAUAGUCUUGUGAGACUGGGGUUAAUACCGUAUACGCCCUCUGGUGGCAAGAAUUAUCUGCGAAGGCUUAGACCGCGAGGGAUUAGGUAGUUGGUGGGGUAAUGGCCAAGGAAGCCGACGACCUAUAGCUGGUUUGAGAGUAAGAGCAGACACACUGGGGGUGGGAUACGGGCCAGACUCCUACGCGAGGGAGCAGUGGGGGAUCGUAGAAAAUGGGGGCAACGAUGAUGGAGCCAGGACGGGUGAGUGCUGAAGGCCGUAGGGAUGUAAAGCUCUUGCAGCUGGGAAGAUAAUGACGGUACCAGCAGAAGAAGCCACGGCUAACUCCGUG